GACGAACGCUGGCGGCGUGCCUAAUACAUGCAAGUUGAGCGAUGAAGAUUGGUGCUUGCACCAAUUUGAAGAGCAGCGAACGGGUGAGUAACGCGUGGGGAAUCUGCCUUUGAGCGGGGGACAACAUUUGGAAACGAAUGCUAAUACCGCAUAACAACUUUAAACAUAAGUUUUAAGUUUGAAAGAUGCAAUUGCAUCACUCAAAGAUGAUCCCGCGUUGUAUUAGCUAGUUGGUGAGGUAAAGGCUCACCAAGGCGAUGAUAUAUAGCCGACCUGAGAGGGUGAUCGGCCACAUUGGGACUGAGACACGGCCCAAACUCCUACGGGAGGCAGCAGUAGGGAAUCUUCGGCAAUGGACGAAAGUCUGACCGAGCAACGCCGCGUGAGUGAAGAAGGUUUUCGGAUCGUAAAACUCUGUUGGUAGAGAAGAACGUUGGUGAGAGUGGAAAGCUCAUCAAGUGACGGUAACUACCCAGAAAGGGACGGCUAACUACGUG
rnacentral:rRNA from 1 species